UCCUCUACAAUGUUGCCAAACACCAUCACAACGCAAUUUGGCCACAGCACCGUGUGCGCUCGUAACAUCACAAUGGGAUUGUCCUUCAUUGCCACAGCUGCUUGGAGCCUUGGGCAGCAGCACCACAGGAACAUUUCCCAUAUACCACAAUUACACAGGGCAUGACUACACAUGGGUGUGUCGCAGGCCGUUAAGGACCGGAGCAGUUUUGAGAGAGAUUUCAUUGGGUUACGGAGGGUUCCAACAUGAACUCUGGCAUUAAUCUGGAAGCAACUCCUCAAGAAUGCUGCUUGGGCUGAAUCAAUCUUUGGUUAAACCAGAGAUGGAACUGGCCUAAGCACCCAUUAACAUGUCAUGAUUGUGGGGAAAACAUCCAGACAGAGGGCUCAUAGAAUCAGGCACACAGAUUAUCGGUUCACAAACAUUUUUGAGAUUCCGUCUUUUUGUCCUGAUUUGGGACAGAGAAAAAAACCCGAAACCUUGAAAAUGCUCAUGGGACAGGAAAACCAUUUCCCACUCAGCACUUCUCAGGGGGUUCUCAGGAGCCUAAGGGAGCCACAAAAGGUUAAAGGAAAACAACCAUGGAUAGAAACAAAGUUGGAACGGAGGAUUGAGAGACAACGAGAGAGAGCGCACACUUCCCCCAGCCUCCAUGAUCCCUCCUUCUUUAAAGUAACCCAGAGAAAGGCAUCGUUCCUGCUAAGUGAAGUUUAAGCCUUGUAAGCACAGCUGAUGCAGUUAAAGAGCCCCACCAACAGCAAACAUUCAUGCAGCUCAGUGUCCGUGGAUUAAUUUGAAAUAAGGAAUAAAAAGAGGGAAGUUAUGAGGAA